CCCCCCCGCUGACGUAAGCGGUUCUUUCCUCUGGCCCAGCAAAGAGUUGGUGCUGGCCCCGAACCAGCCCUGGAACUGCUUUGGUGGAAAGGGGGCAAUGGAGGAUGCUUGGACUGAUAAAAGAAACAGACUCUCUGUUGCAAUGGUGAAGGCUGAGCUUCAAGUCAGGCUGUACUGAGUUCAAGACAUUCAUUGAAAAUCAGCCAGGACUCAUAGCAGCAGCAAAGAAAAACACCAAAUAUAAAUGGAAGAUUAGCCAAGAGCAGCAGAGGCACAGGCAAGCACAAGCAAAGCACACACCACACUCUAAGCAAUCAGACAGAGGAUGAAGCCCUCAUCCAAGGAUCCAUUGAGACUAUGGUGGGAAUGUCAUUAAACAUGUUGCCACCAGUAAACCAGAUGACAUUAGGAUCAUGCUGGAAGACCAGAUGGGACUGUGUGAUCUGGACAAUGUUGCAUUAGCUGCUGCCAUGUUAUUUGGCCUAAUAUAUGCUUUGAACCUCAACUACCCUCCUCAACUGCAGUACUCUUUUGAAGUGCUCCAGAAAGUUCUGAUGGAGCUGGAUGGUAACUCUUAAGAAUUUAUGAUUUUAAUAUUUUAGCUUUUCAUCCUUUAGCUUUUAGAUCCUUUACUAUUUUAAACUAUUUCUGUUUAACUUGACCAAGAAGGCAUUAAUUCGUAAUUCAUGUGACCUUCUUUGCAGACUAGACAUAGUAUCUUUGUUUAAAAAUUCCAUUACUGUCGUAAAGAACAUCUUGCUCUGUGUUGUGCGUAAAUGUUGAUAUCUGUUAGAACAUCUGCUGAUAUGAAAAGUGUAAGAACAUUAUGCUCAUGAUUGAUCCAAGGUUUCACUCUCACACACAUACAUAUUGAUGUAAUUAAGAUGUGACCUGCUCAGACCAAGGUUUACUGACCCAGUCACAGAUAUCAACACACACAGCUGAUGUCAUUUACAUACAUACAUACAAGCGCACACACUCAUUCACAGACGUGUACACACACACGUAGCUGAUGUCAUAGUCUGAUGUCAUACACACCCACAGCUGCAUAUUCACUCACUCACACACACGCGCGCGCACACACACACACACACUCUGCCUUCAGAGAGAUA